rnacentral:rRNA from 1 species
UACCAGCUCUCCGAGUGGUAGGGAUGAUUAUUGGGCUUAAAGCGUCCGUAGCCGGCUUAGCAAGUCUCCUGUUAAAUUCAGCGACCUAAUCGUUGAUCCGCGGGAGAUACUACUAGGCUAGGAGGCGGGAGAGGUCGACGGUACUUUCGGGGUAGGGGUGAAAUCCUAUAAUCCCGGGAGGACCACCAGUGGCGAAGGCUGUCGACUAGAACGCGCUCGACGGUGAGGGACGAAAGCUGGGGGAGCGAACCGGAUUAGAUACCCGGGUAGUCCCAGCUGUAAACUAUGCGGGCUAGGUGUUGGGGUGGCUACGGGCCACUUCAGUGCCGCAGGAAAGCCAUUAAGCCCGCCGCCUGGGGAGUACGGCCGCAAGGCUGAAACUUAAAGGAAUUGGCGGGGGAGCACCACAAGGCGUGAAGCUUGCGGUUC